rnacentral:rRNA from 1 species
AUUGAACGCUGGCGGAAUGCUUUACACAUGCAAGUCGAACGGCAGCACGGACUUCGGUCUGGUGGCAAGUGGCGAACGGGUGAGUAAUGUAUCGGAACGUGUCCAGUCGUGGGGGAUAACGUAGUGAGAAUUACGCUAAUACCGCAUACGAUCUAUGGAUGAAAGCGGGGGAUCGCAAGACCUCGCGCGAUUGGAGCGGCCGAUAUCAGAUUAGGUAGUUGGUGGGGUAAAGGCCCACCAAGCCAACGAUCUGUAGCUGGUCUGAGAGGACGACCAGCCACACUGGAACUGAGACACGGUCCAGACUCCUACGGGAGGCAGCAGUGGGGAAUUUUGGACAAUGGGCGAAAGCCUGAUCCAGCCAUUCCGCGUGCAGGAUGAAGGCCCUCGGGUUGUAAACUGCUUUUGUACAGAACGAAAAGGUUUCUACUAAUACCUGGGGCUCAUGACGGUACCGUAAGAAUAAGCACCGGCUAACUACGUGCCAGCCGCCGCCGUAA